UACGUAGGGGCCUAGCGUUGUCCGGAUUUAUUGGGCGUAAAGAGCUCGUAGGCGGUUCGGUAAGUCAGGUGUGAAAUCUCCACGCUCAACGUGGAGGCGCCACCUGAAACUGCCGUGACUCGAGUCCGGUAGGGGAGUGUGGAAUUCCCGGUGUAGCGGUGAAAUGCGCAGAUAUCAGGAGGAACACCGGUGGCGAAGGCGGUUCUCUGGGCAUUACCUGACGCUGAGGAGCGAAAGUGUGGGGAGCGAACAGG
rnacentral:rRNA from 1 species